UCCUGGAAGUGAUCGUGGAGAUGUCUGCUGAAAGUCAUGUCACAUCCUCCAAGUUAAUUAUUUUAGUACGCAACCUGCAGAAACUGACAACAAGUAUGGCCAACAGUUAUGCACCAGAGUCUGUUGGUCAGAGGCUAGCUAGCACUCUGAACAAGCAUCUGACCAAAAGGUGUGGAGACUAUGAAUCAACAAGAUUUCUCGCAGUAUCAAUGCUGCUGGAUCCUCGGUAUAAAAAAAGUAGCCUUUGCCAUGGAGACAAAUGCAGAGAUGGCUGUUCGAGCAUUAACAUCCGAGGCCAGCCAACUGAAUGCUGUGGAAUGCCACCCAGAGGCAACAACUUCAGAUGCACCACUCACACAACAACAAACCAGGGCUAGUUAUGUGUGGUCUGAUUUUGAUUUGAAGGUGAGUCAGCAAAAAAAAACAUGGAUAUCAUCUCUGAAGUGAAAAUGUACGUCUCCCAGCCAAAUGUCAACAGAAUGUCUUUACCAUUGUACUUCUGGCACGAACAAGGACAAAAGUUCCCAAACUUGCAGACUCUGGCAAAAAAAAUACUUGGCCAUAAUGGCAACAUCUGUGCCAAGCGAGCGUGUAUUUUCAAAGUCUGAUGAGCUUAUCUCAAAAAGACACUCUUGCCUGAAGAGCUCUCAGGUGAAAUGUAUAAUGUUCUUACACUACAAUAUGUAACUGGUCUAGGCCUGUGAUGUUGGAUCAAUGUGUAUCCUGCUCUGAGUGUUGUUUUUAAUACAAAGUGUACAGUAUGUGUGUAAAGUGAGUCUGUAAUUUAGCAUGUUUAAAACUGUACAGUUUUAUGACACUGGAUGAAAUAUGUACUUCACACUGAUUGUUUUGUUACAUUUCAGAGGUUUUGUGGCUUGAAUACAAGAUUAGCACUGCACUAAAUGUAGAAAGUAGACA